rnacentral:lncRNA from 1 species
UAAAAUACCAUGCUAAAUGUUGAUGUCACAAAAAACUUUUUAAACUUAGAAACUUACACUGUUCUAUAUGUAAUAAUCCAAACAAGAGAAGAAAAAUAAAUACUCACUCAAGAGGAAGGAAGUGGUGCUAGCUUAGAAGCCAGUUGUACAUGGUUUUCAUCAAGCUAGCAUGCUCUGGUUUUGUUGGCAUCGCUCAUUAAGUACAACAUUUUGCUGUUCUUGGCUAACUCUCAACUUCUCCUAUCCGAUUCGCGCUGCAAUAGAAAAGCAUAUAGGACAAAGUCAGCAUUUGAGAUACGUGCAAAAGGACCAUAUGUGAUAGAAUGGCUCGUCCUUUGAGGAAGGCUGAGAGGAUAUGCCCAUCACACAAGAAAAUGUAGUUACAUGCUCUAUCCUUUAAAUUAUCCUACUACUAUGCAGGACUCUUGAUCAGUAAGCGAAUUCUCCACAAUGGGCUCGAGUCCCACUAAAUCCAGCUUAAGAUAAUAUGCUAUCGCCGUGAUAAGCCCACCAAUGAUGAUUGCCCCAGAUUCGGAUUUUCCCAUCUUCAGUAAGUGCCUUGCCAAAGAAGACCCAUGUCCAAAUGAAAAUUGUGAAACAUUUUCCACAUGAAUAGCAGCUCAUUAAAUCGGACACUUCCAUCGUUGUCUUCAUGCUUGAAUAUGAUGAGAGCAAUGAUGCAAUGGAUAUAGCGAAAGAUGGGGUUUGGCAUAAACAUUUCCUUUUUUGAUGGAUUGUACCC